CCGGUGCUAGGCCGCGGCCUGGGCCUCGCGUAGCGCCGGUGCCCGUCCCGGUGAGGCCGAACCGGGCCCGGUGCUCGCGGAGGGGCCGAGGCGGAGCCCGCACCUCCGGAGCCGUCACCGGAUGCGCGCAGCCCCCGGCGGUGCCCGGACCGCUGCCCCGGGGCCCUCCGCGGCCUCGUCCCGACGACGGCGCUGGCCUGGCCCGGUGCGGCCUCCGUGUCCGGUGGGCAGUGACCUGUGAGCCUGAGGAUGCCUCUGCACGGAGCGAGGGCUGCGGCUCUGCUGGCUUGGGUGAACAGCACCAAUGUGUGCUCCGAGCCCAUCCAGGAGCUGUCCCAGCUCCGGGACUGCAGCGUCUUCAUCCGGAUCAUCAGCAGGAUG